rnacentral:lncRNA from 1 species
CCAUGGUCAAUCCCACUAUGUUGGGGUUGACAGUGCGGUUGAUGGUGGGCCCUUGUGUCUCCUUUGAGCUGUUUGCAGACAAGUUUCCAAAGACAGCAGAAAAAUUUCGUGCUCUAAGCCCUGGAGAGGAAGGAUUUGGUUAUAAGGGUUCAUGCUUUCACAGAAUUAUUCCAGGGUUUAUGUGUCAAGGUGGUGACUUCACACUCCAUAAUGGCACUGGUGGCAACUCCAUCUAUGGAGAGAAAUUAGAUGAUGAGAACUUCAUCCUAAAGCAUAUAGGUCCUGGCAUCUGUUCCAUGGCAAAUACUGGACCCAGCACAAAUGGUUUCUAGUUUUUCAUCUGUACUGCCAAGACUGAGGGGUUGGAUGGCAAGCAUGUGGUCUUUGACAAGGUGAAAGAAGGCAUGAAUAUUGUGGAGGCCAUGGAGUGCUUUGGGUCCAGGAAUGGCAAGACCAGCAAGAAGGUCACCAUUGCUGACUGUGGACAAAUCUAA